rnacentral:rRNA from 1 species
GAUGAACGCUGGCGGCGUGCCUAAUACAUGCAAGUCGAGCGAACCACUUCGGUGGUGAGCGGCGAACGGGUGAGUAACACGUAGGUGAUCUGCCCAUCAGACGGGGACAACGAUUGGAAACGAUCGCUAAUACCGGAUAGGACGAAAGUUUAAAGGUGCUUCUGGCACCGCUGAUGGAUGAGCCUGCGGCGCAUUAGCUAGUUGGUAGGGUAAAGGCCUACCAAGGCGACGAUGCGUAGCCGACCUGAGAGGGUGAACGGGCCACACUGGGACUGAGACACGGCCCAGACUCCUACGGGAGGCAGCAGUAGGGAAUCUUCGGCAAUGGGCGAAAGCCUGACCGAGCAACGGCCGCGUGAAUGAUGAAGGCCU